rnacentral:rRNA from 1 species
UACGUAGGGUGCGAGCGUUAAUCGGAAUUACUGGGCGUAAAGCGUGCGCAGGCGGUUAUGCAAGACAGAUGUGAAAUCCCCGGGCUCAACCUGGGAACUGCAUUUGUGACUGCAUGGCUGGAGUGCGGCAGAGGGGGAUGGAAUUCCGCGUGUAGCAGUGAAAUGCGUAGAUAUGCGGAGGAACACCGAUGGCGAAGGCAAUCCCCUGGGCCUGCACUGACGCUCAUGCACGAAAGCGUGGGGAGCAAAAGGG